rnacentral:rRNA from 1 species
AUUGAACGCUGGCGGAAUGCUUUACACAUGCAAGUCGAACGGCAGCAUAGGUGCUUGCACCUGAUGGCGAGUGGCGAACGGGUGAGUAAUACAUCGGAACGUGCCCAGUUGUGGGGGAUAACGUAGCGAAAGUUACGCUAAUACCGCAUACGAUCUAAGGAUGAAAGCGGGGGACCGUAAGGCCUCGCGCGAUUGGAGCGGGCGAUGUCAGAUUAGGUAGUUGGUGAGGUAAAGGCUCACCAAGCCGACGAUCUGUAGCUGGUCUGAGAGGACGACCAGCCACACUGGGACUGAGACACGGCCCAGACUCCUACGGGAGGCAGCAGUGGGGAAUUUUGGACAAUGCACGCAAGUCUGAUCCAGCCAUUCCGCGUGCAGGACGAAGGCCUUCGGGUUGUAAACUGCUUUUGUACGGAACGAAAAAGCUCUUACUAAUACUAGGAGUCCAUGACGGUACCGUAAGAAUAAGCACCGGCUAACUACGUGCCAGCAGCCGCAGUAA